rnacentral:rRNA from 1 species
UACGAAGGGGGCUAGCGUUGUUCGGAAUUACUGGGCGUAAAGCGCACGUAGGCGGGUCGUUAAGGCAGGGGGGAAAUCCCAGAGCUCAACUCUGGAACUGCCUUUGAUACUGGCGCCCUAGAGUUCGGAAGAGGUUAGUGGAAUUCCCAGUGUAGAGGUGAAAUUCGUAGAUAUUGGGAAGAACACCAGUGGCGAAGGCGGCUAACUGGUCCGAUACUGACGCUGAGGUGCGAAAGCGUGGGGAGCAAACAGG